GUUUGUGUGAGGAUGAAAUUCAAUCAGUUGGCCAUAAACAUAUCCGUUGCAGCAACUCCUAGUUGAGUUAAUGACCAGUCGAGAAAUCCCGACUUCCUCUACGUGUAUAAUUUGCAUGCAACCACCUCGCGGAGAGGGUGUAUCUCCAGCUCCAGCUCCAUCCGCAUCUGCAUCUGCAUCGGUGGUUGUAUCGCGAACGAGUUAUAUGCCAAAGUGGUGCAGCAACAACAAUAAAUAUAUAUCUCCAAAGGUCGCGUGAGAGUGUGUGCGUUUCGAUCUUUCACUAUGGCUCUUUGUGUUAUCUUUUUUGCGCUCACUGACUCACGGCACCAACACCAGCGCAGACUCUCGCACACACA
rnacentral:lncRNA from 1 species